UCACUGUCAACAUCUGACAUAUUUUACCUCAUUUUCUUUUCCAGCUUUAUUUUCCUGCCUCUCUUCCCCAAGUUUCUUCUUAUAGCAACAGUAGCAAUAAAGAAAACUACAUAAAUAUAUUUAAAUAAUUCCAAGGCGGAAUAUUUUCUGCGGCAGAUUCGGAAUGCAUAAGCACAGGUUAAACAACUAUCCUGUGGGACGACGAACCUUGGGAUCAGUGAAUGGAAGCUCUCGUCAGACUCCAGCGCCCAACAGCGAGACAAGGACAUUAUCCCACCAACUCUCUACAAACAGACAAAAAGAAAUAUUAUACGCGUGUUCCGCCAGUUCACACUAACAUUGAGGCUAUAGACGGGAGUGCUCAUCUCGGCAAAGUUUCGUGGAUUGCAAUCUUAAACAAUUAAAAGGUAAAUAAAGCGCGGCUGUGUCGGAGAAAUCAGAUUUCAUUUUAUACCUUUGAGUUGAACUGUUUGUAUCAGAUGUAAUUUUCGAAAUUUGAAUUGCUGCUUUGAUUUCUCGUGCCUAGCUGUAAGCCUGUAAUGUGGACGUGUGGUUUAUUUUAGCAUUAAUACCUUCAGGAAACCGAUAUAUACUCGCGCUAAACACCUGUAGCAUCGUUCUUAUUACAAGGAGACACACUAGACUUUAUACUUUAAUGC